UUCUUGAGUGUGUACUUGUUAAGCCUUUUAAGAAAAAAGUUAUUAACUUAAGGAAUUAUAACAAAGAAGCAACACGUAAAUGGAUUUUCCAUUUUUUAGUGUGUAUCAAUCGAGUUUCUGACCUAUCAGCUUUUGAUGUUAGGGUAUUGGCCUAACAUGGCUAUGACGGGUAACGGGGAAUUAGAGUUCGAUUCCGGAGAGGGAGCCUGAGAAAUAGCUACCACAUCUAAGGAAGGCAGCAGGCGCGUAAAUUACCCAAUUCUAAAGAAGAGAGGUAGUGACAAGAAAUAACAAUACAAGGCCAAUCUGGCUUUGUAAUUGGAAUGAUGGGAAUUUAAAACCUUCCCAAAACUCAAUUGGAGGGCAAGUCUGGUGCCAGCAGCCGCGGUAAUUCCAGCUCCAAUAGCGUAUAUUAAAAUUGUUGCAGUUAAAACGCUCGUAGUUGAAUUUCAAAGAAUCGAUAUUUUAAGUAGCACUUUGUAGAUUAAUCCACAUAAAUGAUACUACGUAUCGACUUUGUGCGCAUUUUUCUACUUAUGUGUUCUUUUAAUUAAAAUGAUUCUUUUUAAGAUCUUUCUUUUUUGCUUCGGCAUUUUAGGAGAUCUUGUUACUUUGAGUAAAUUAGAGUGUUCAAAGCAAACAGAUUAUAGCAUCUUUAUGCGUUUGAAUACUACAGCAUGGAAUAACAAAAUUGAACAAGUCAAAAUUUUGUUCUUUUUUCUUAUUUUGGCUUAGUUACGAUUAAUAGGAGUAGCUUGGGGGCAUUUGUAUUCAGAUGUCAGAGGUGAAAUUCUUAGAUUUUCUGGAGACAAACAACUGCGAAAGCAUUUGCCUAAAAUACUUCCAUUAAUCAAGAACGAAAGUUAAGGGAGUGAAGACGAUCAGAUACCGUCGUAAUCUUAACCAUAAACUAUGCCGACUAGGC
rnacentral:rRNA from 1 species